rnacentral:rRNA from 1 species
CCUACGGGUGGCAGCAGUGGGGAAUAUUGCACAAUGGGGGAAACCCUGAUGCAGCGACGCCGCGUGAGUGAAGAAGUAAUUCGUUAUGUAAAGCUCUAUCAGCAGGGAAGAAAAUGACGGUACCUGAGUAAGAAGCCCCGGCUAACUACGUGCCAGCAGCCGCGGUAAUACGUAGGGGGCAAGCGUUAUCCGGAUUUACUGGGUGUAAAGGGAGCGUAGACGGCGGUGCAAGUCUGGAGUGAAAGCCGGGGGCUCAACCCCGGGACUGCUCUGGAAACUGUGCGGCUGGAGUGCAGGAGAGGUAGGUGGAAUUCCUGGUGUAGCGGUGAAAGGCGUAGAUAUUAGGAGGAACACCAGGGGCGAAGGCGGUUUGCUGGACUGCAACUGACGUUGAGGCCCGAAAGCGUGGGGAGCAAACAGGAUUAGAUACCCCUGUAGUC